GGUCUGUGAUGCCUUAGAUGUCCUGGGCUGCACGCGCGCUACACUGAUGCGUCCAUCGAGUUUAUCCUUGGCCGAGAGGCCCGGGUAAUCUUUAGUGCGCAUCGUGAUGGGGAUCGAUUAUUGCAAUUAUUAAUCGUGAACGAGGAAUGCCUAGUAUGCGCAAGUCACCAGCUUGUGCAGAUUACGUCCCUGCCCUUUGUACAC
rnacentral:rRNA from 1 species